rnacentral:rRNA from 1 species
UGCUAAGUUUGAUGGCGACCGGCGCACGGGUGAGUAACACGUAUCCAACCUGCCCUUUACUCGGGGAUAGCCUUUCGAAAGAAAGAUUAAUACCCGAUAGUAUAAUGAUUCCGCAUGGUUUCAUUAUUAAAGGAUUCCGGUAAAGGAUGGGGAUGCGUUCCAUUAGGUUGUUGGUGAGGUAACGGCUCACCAAGCCUUCGAUGGAUAGGGGUUCUGAGAGGAAGGUCCCCCACAUUGGAACUGAGACACGGUCCAAACUCCUACGGGAGGCAGCAUG